rnacentral:rRNA from 1 species
GACGAACGCUGGCGGCGUGCCUAAUACAUGCAAGAAGAACGCUGAAGGAGGAGCUUGCUUCUCCGGAUGAGUUGCGAACGGGUGAGUAACGCGUAGGUAACCUGCCUGGUAGCGGGGGAUAACUAUUGGAAACGAUAGCUAAUACCGCAUAAGAGUAGAUGUCGCAUGACAUUUGCUUAAAAGGUGCAACUGCACCACUACCAGAUGGACCUGCGUUGUAUUAGCUAGUUGGUGAGGUAACGGCUCAUCAAGGCAACGAUACAUAGCCGACCUGAGAGGGGGAUCGGCCACACUGGGACUGAGACACGGCCCAGACUCCUACGGGAGGCAGCAGUAGGGAAUCUUCGGCAAUGGACGGAAGUCUGACCGAGCAACGCCGCGUGAGUGAAGAAGGUUUUCGGAUCGUAAAGCUCUGUUGUAAGAGAAGAACGAGUGUGAGAGUGGAAAGUUCACACUGUGACGGUAUCUUACCAGAAAGGGACGGCUAACUACGUG